GCGGGGGUGGGUAGGCAGAGGGCGGGGGAGGGCGCGCGCACCCGGCUCGCGGCCCCUCCAGGCGCCUGUGAUUGGUGCGCGCGCGCGAGUGGAGCACGAGGCGCUCGCCCGCGGGGCGGGGGCUGAGCCUGAGGGGAGCGCUGAGGGAAGCUCCAGCCUUGAAACUUCUGGUUGUGACACGUACUGUGGUACAACACCAGCUUCAGAUGUAGCUGCAACCCAGAGAACAAUACACCAUGAUCUGCAAAUUCACAGCUUGCUGUGCCACUCCACACGGCGAAUUUGCUAAUGAGAGCUGUGUGUCAGAGUCCCUGACCAGGACACAGUUGCCAAGGCCAGGCUGCUGCAGCCUGAGCACCAUGAGCUGCUGCUGUGGGAGCUUAGCAGUGAAGUGCAGGAAUGCCUGGAAUGUUUCAGUCAGCAGGUUCACUUGUGUUACUUGAAACAAGAAGCCAUCAACCAAAGCAAACACUUGCAGGUUCUAUACCACCAUCUGCCCCAUUAAUGAGAUUUGUGUUAGGAGCACAUGACCAGGGACAACUGAACCAGCUAUUCCAAAAUACCUUUUAGUCACCCCAUGCAAAUAGAGGUCCCCUAAGUAAGUUAUAGGUACAUAUCUUUUACACAGGCAGGAUAUGCAGAAUUUUCUGAAAGAAGAAUUAAAGCAAUUGUCAACAUUUCAUACA